CCUACGGGUGGCUGCAGUGGGGAAUAUUGGACAAUGGGGGGAACCCUGAUCCAGCCAUGCCGCGUGUGUGAAGAAGGCCCUCGGGUUGUAAAGCACUUUCAGUGAGGAAGAACGCCUGGUGGUUAAUACCCAUCAGGAAAGACAUCACUCACAGAAGAAGCACCGGCUAACUCCGUGCCAGCAGCCGCGGUAAUACGGAGGGUGCGAGCGUUAAUCGGAAUUACUGGGCGUAAAGCGCGCGUAGGUGGCUUGAUAAGCCGGUUGUGAAAGCCCCGGGCUCAACCUGGGAACGGCAUCCGGAGCUGUCAAGCUAGAGUGCAGGAGAGGAAGGUAGAAUUCCCGGUGUAGCGGUGAAAUGCGUAGAGAUCGGGAGGAAUACCAGUGGCGAAGGCGGCCUUCUGGACUGACACUGACACUGAGGUGCGAAAGCGUGGGUAGCAAACAGGAUUAGAUACCCCUGUAGUC
rnacentral:rRNA from 1 species